GCUUAUUGUUUAUGUUUUCAUGAAACUUGAAACGGUCAGACUUCAUAAAAAUAGUUCGUCUGUUGUGCCCUGACUUUUAACUCUAGUGUGUUCCAGAUUUGCUGCAUCAUGGAAAUUCAAGCAGAAAAUAUAGGAAUCGAAUGUGAAGUCGUGAAUUGCACUGCUCGUACACGCACAAAAAUAGAAAUGUUAUCACAUUAUAGGACAGUUCAUCGAGGUGAUCGUACAUUUGAUGUAACUUGUUUGAGCAGUUGUGACAGAAGAUAUCUUACAGAAGAUGGACUAAGAAAACAUUUGCAGUCUCACCAUCCAACAUUCUUUGAACAAAAUAUUGAAGCAGUAGACCUAGCACCUGAUGAUUCAGAAGAAGAAGAUGUAAUGUUACGAGAAGAAAUACAGGGUCUUAAUUCACCCCUUGCUGCAGCAUCUAUCUUUUCAACAGAAGAACAAGUGCUUCAGAAGCCACAUAACUAAAAAUUUAAUCAAGUAGAUGUACAGACUGUUAUGGAAGCAACAACAGAUUUUGUGAACAAAGAAAUCAUUUCUGUUUUGUCAAAAACAAUCUCAUCACUGAGAGACAGCAAGUGUACGCACAUCAAGAGUAUCCAACAAAUGGUACAAAUAUAUAGAUCUCCCUUUGCUCCUGAUCUAUUUAAAGGUCUACGCACCCAGUACAAACUUUCAUCAACUUUUAUUUGUCAGCGAGCUUCUUGACCACAAAGUGUACCAAUUACAACAUCCCGUUGAUUUAUCUGUAUCAACAAAUUGCAUGUACCCUUUGUCUGACUUUAUCGUUACCAAAAGUGAAAUAAACGAUAAAUAAUUGUUCGCCAUAUUGUACUGUAUGGCAACGUCACAUACGUUUUGUCAA